CUGCAGGAGAUGAUAAUGAAUAGUGAAAAAUGCCAAGCAGACAAUAAGCAGAAGGAACAGAGGAAAUCCACAAACUGGAUAAUUGUUUCUUGAGUAACUGACCAUCAAUCUAGAUAGUGGUUGCAGUAAUUUCAAAUUCUUCUCUUCCUUUUCACUUCAGGCUUUCAUUUGGUCUCUUUUCGAAUCAGAAGACCCAGAAAACUUGGAUCCACUUCUGGCUCUCAUCCCUCUGGGCAGUGUGAUUUGGAGUAAGUAUAUUGGAAACAGCAUUACUUUAUAGUAAAUCAUGACCACGGUGUAUGGCAAUGAAGUUGCAUCUGAAGCAGCCGGCACCCUAUGUGCUAGCUGGCUUUUAGACCAGGAGACUGUGAAUCUGUGGUCAGGAUCUCUUUAGGGCUGCUAAAUAUAUACUACCCACUAUCACUCGCUGGAGCUGCAGACCCUAGUUUUAGAGUUUCACUUCUUAAAGACCUUCAUCCUUAUUAAAAUGGUAAUAUCCUUACUGUCAUCAAUCACUGACACAUUGGUAUGAGUGAGUUUGAGUCUGGUUUGAAG
rnacentral:lncRNA from 1 species